GUCAACUAUGAAUUGUUAGUAAUAUUAAUCUAGUCCUUAUGAAUAAUGAGGUGAUGUUAAAAAAGGUCAGUUUUUAAUUUUCCUCAUUCCUAUUCUGCCCUUAAACCAACUCUCUCUCUCUCUAUCGUCUUCUUCUCCUCCACACACGCAGAGACCUCAGAGAGAGUGUGAAUGCCAAAGAACGACGCGUCUUUGGGAUCGGUCUAAGAGUUCUUGAAGCGGUGCCGACUCGCCGGUAAUCGGAUCCCUCCAGAUCGUUCAGCUCGAUCGGGCGUCGUAUGACGCCUCUUCAUCUCUUGACGUACUUGUCGAGAUAGGAGAGCGCGACAUUGAAAUCGAACGCCGCUUUGCGCUCGGCGAACCAGAGGCCGAGGAAGGUGUGCUUGCCAGUGCCACCCUCGAUCUUGAGGACGAAGUAUCGAGACGAGUCGAGCACGGUCUUGACGGAGGUCGUUGGAGUUCGGAUCUUCCAGUCAGAUCUCGCACCGGUCCUUGCACGACCUUCUCCGCUCUCGGCGACCUUCUCCGCUCUUGGAGAGCUUCUUGUUGCUACUGGCUGCGUCACUGACUUUGAUGAGUGCCGCUAGGUUUGCAGUACGUUAACCGAAAAGUUUGGGAAGCAUGGUUUGGUUAAAACCAAACCAUCUGUGUGGAGUCGUGCAGCGCCAGUGAGAAUGGAUGAUGGAAUGGAUGAGGGGCAGGCACCAAAGAAGAAGCAGGAGUUGAUUGAUGAUCCCAUGCUCUGAACGUGAUAUGGCAAAGCUAGAUAGGCUAAAGAGGAAGGAUGAGUGCCAAAGAGAGGCAUUGGACCAGUUGGGACAUGUGGAUGAAAUUGUAAAUGACCUUAGUAUGUGCUGAUAUGUUAUUGUGGUCUAUAAACAACAUUUUAAUUAGAAUUUCUUAUAGUUUCUCUUUCCAGCUUUACUUUACUAAUCGCUCUGG